CGAUAAACAACACUACUCCACAGGCAGGGUGAAGAAGCUACAGUCAAAGGGGCAUACGUGUUGCUUUGCUCCUACGAACGGGAAGUAAGUUCAAAGUGCAUUCAUCACUUUGCUGAUGGUCAAGAUGGUUUCCAUUGCCGCUGCUAUGCUCAUCGUCGUGUUCGUGGGAACUGUUCAAGGUUGCAACCGUCUGGGAGUUGUGCUGGCUCACAGGGAGCAGAAUGAGACGUCCAAUAAUGGUGCGAAUUACAACACGUUCAUGCCUCUGACAACCUCGCUGAUGUACUGGACAAUUCACACUCUGCUGGGGUCAACAGCGGUUUCUUUUAACUGAUGUUCAGGAAGUCAUCAGCAUGUGACAAGUCGCCUGUCUCUUAGUGUGCGGCACCGUCCUCUUCUUCCGCCUGUACUUUACCAAUGAAUAAAACACAACCGAUCAUUCUCCGUAGUUUAAAAUUAAUUUCAUGAAUGAAUAUAAUAAAAGUGUAAUGGAGAAAAUUGCGUAAGAAGGAACUUCGAAGUGUGUAGUCUCCUCUAGUCUUGAUAUGAUGAUUAAGUUCAGAAAAACGAAAUAAGCGAAAUAUUUAGCUCGGAUGAGGAAAGAAAAAAAUAAUAUAAAAAUUUAGUUAAUAAACACCAUAAACAUUAAAAUUGAUCUUAGAUUAAGCUGUGAAAAUGUGAAAUAGAUUUAAGUGACUUCAAUGGAAAGCUUUCGUGAUAGCGGUAAAGAACCAUUAAUUUCACAAGAAUAUUUCAUAAUCAUCUCAAUAUGAGAGACUGUAUAAUUGAGUCUAUUGUUUAGUUAAACAUGAGGCAGAUAGCAUUAAAUAUGUUUUCUUGUUAGAUCUCUUAUGUUUUAU